UGGCCUGGCUAAAACCCGGGGGGGUGGGAAGGGACAGGGGAAGAGGCAGCCGGGCGAAAGGGGAGACGCACGGCGCGGCCUCCUCGCCGGGGCCCCGUCUCACCUCAAGCGUGGAGACAGUGCUGGUGAACAGGUCCUCCCCGUCCUCCAGCUCCUCAAAGUCGGUGGGCUUCACGUCCCCCAGCGGAGGAGGUUCCCUCUCAGCCGCCAUCUUCGCUCGCCUGGACGUCUGCAAGAGCCGGGCCUCGCGGACCUGUCACGACUAGGAAGUAGAAGAGCUUGGGACGCCAGUCUCUGAGCUUGGAUGGAACCCAGAUUCAGGGCAAGAAACACAACUCAAAUGUUUGGCAGCGAGUGCUCCAAAAAGAACCUCCUGACACAAUCCAAGUGUUCUCUCUUCCUGUACUGAUGUGUGUUCUGAGUAUUGAGCUAAGGUCAUCAGGAUGAGCAGUGGAGGUCAUCGGGAUCGAGAGAAGGUCAUCAGAAUUGGCAGCAAGCACUCUUCACCUGCUAAGCCAUCUCACCAGCCCCCAGAUUAGAGUCCAACUCUUUAAAGCCCUUAGUUUUGCCAAAUCUAAAAAUAAAAACCCCAAAUUCACCAAUAAACAUUGAUGCGCAAGGCA